CAAGUUUGCAUCCUAUCUAGCCAGUUGCUAAAGAGAAAACAUGAAGCUAUAUCAAGCAUUUGCAGUUUUCAUUGUACUAAUAUAGGCACGGGUAGUUGUACAGAUUUGUGCAGCGAGUAUGGUCAGUUUAAAAGGUGUGAGCAGAUUAUCGAUACGUUUAAAGAAGCCUUAAUCAAGGAAGAAUCAAACAUAUUUGCCCUCAACAAUAUUUUUUUCCUGGGCAACCGAUAUCCAGUGUCCAACUUUGUGGUUAGAUAUCAUAUUAUUGUGCCUGGACAAGAUGAGAACUCAACCUUUUUUGGUGUCAGAGGCUGGUGCAAGAGCGCUGUAACACAAUAGCAAGCCCUGUUAUGAUCGUGACGCUCUUUACGGGGCUAACUAUCUUCUAUCAUAAGGAAGUAAAUCGUCAGAGUUUAAUGCCAAGCAUCCUACUCCUAAACAUAACCAAACACAACUACAGUGAAGAGGAAAUCGAUUAUGCACUCGACUAUAUCACACCUUGGCUUAAAUUGUAUACAAAAAAAGAAGCACAGUCAGGUCAUAUAACUUACACGGAUGAAGAGAAAGGAUACAAGUGUGAUGUCUUCUCUUUUAGCUGGGGUCUAACAGCGAUUACAGUUACUAUAACUAUAGCAGCAAUUUGCAUGACGUGCAAGGUGCUGUAUUUCUUGCUAAAAGCCGAAUCUAAACCAGCUGAUGUAAACAGGGCGGUGUUCUUCUCUUUUGGAAUUAUAACUUUCCUUGUCAACAUUGCUGAUGUCGGUUUUCUUGUGUAUGUAGUAUAUGUUUACAUUUCCGUAUACACGCAAUUCGUUCAGAAUGAAUCAAACCAUGAGAAAAGUGGAACAGACCCUUCGACUGUUCUGAAUCAUGUGCUAGUUAAAGUAUUUGAGCUAAGCGUUGGCAUUCUCGUAUUUGGUAUUGGGGGAGCCAUCACUAGCUGCUGCUCACCUUUUCUUCCACAACCAGAGCUACAUGUUACAUGUAACUUUUGUACCUCCAAACGUGUUUAUUUUCUACAUUUUGCUAACUUCUUCUACUUCACAUAUAUGGUUGGUCUAAAAGUAUUGCCAACAUUUUUGAUACUGUUAAUUGCACCAAUCGAAACGAUAUCUGUACUGAUCUUCUUUGUGUCACUGCUGUCCAGUUGUGUGAUGGUAGUGACCAUCGUCAUACUCCGAAGUGAGAUACAUACAUUGAAGAAAAGGGUUGAGGCGAGGAAUAAAAUUGAACUAUGUCAAACAAUUUGUUCAGCUUCCAUUUACUUUUUGGCACUAAUUUCCAUUGUUUUGCUCGUAGUGGUAUUUCUGAAGGUAUUGGCCGCCACCACAAAUAGUAAUGCACCAUAUCUUGCUACAGUUAUACUAUCCUUGGGUUCCACAAUACUCACCAUACUGGGUGGCUAUUUAACCACGCAAAUAUUGUCAAAAGAGAACACACAAAAAAGUGACUUGGAAUCUGGUACGGAAAUGAUUGAUACGGUAAAUGAAGAUACAGCUGGGACCUCUACAGAGAAUGGAACCCCAGCUGCAGAAAAGAAUGGAGAAGAGAAUGGAGAAGAUGAUGAAGCCACCGCAUUCUUGGGGGGGAAAAAAAAAUGUCGAAAGUACUCUUAACUUGAACACUUGAAUGUUAACACCAGUGCACUAUUAUAAUUGUUACAGUACAUGAUGUUUUCACAGGUAGAUUUGUUUGUGAUUUCACUGUUAAGCUCAUUUUGCUGGUAUUAGCUCAAGUUGUGAAAUUAAUCUUAUUCAUAACGUUUCGCAAGUGGUUUUAAUGAGAUUCAUUGCAAUAG